GAAACAGAGUUUGCAAGACAACAGCAACCAAUUGAAAGUGAGGAUAUUUCCCCAACAUGUUAUCCUUCAGCAGAGGUUUUGGGAAAUGCGCCUAAAGCCCCAAAUAUUUUUUGCAUCUUUUUUCAAGUGCCUGGAAAAACACAGCCGUGAGCCUGGAAAUGCUGCUGCUCCAGCCUCAUCUUUUACAAAUGGCAACUUGUUCAGAGAACAUGGACCGAAGAAGCCAUCACUCCUGCAGUGCUUCCACUAGAAACAAGGACCUUGC